rnacentral:rRNA from 1 species
GACGAACGCUGGCGGCGUGCUUAACACAUGCAAGUCGAACGGACCCAAGCUUUAAGUUACUUAGAGCUGACGGUUAGUGGCGGACGGGUGAGUAACACGUGGAUAAUCUGCCUAUGACACAGGAAUAACACUGUGAAAACGGUGCUAAUACCAGAUACACUUAUCGGGUCGCAUGUCCUGAUAAGGAAAGGAGCAAUCCGGUCAUAGAUGAGUCCGCGGCUGAUUAGCUAGUUGGUAGGGUAAAGGCCUACCAAGGCGAUGAUCAGUAGCCGGCCUGAGAGGGUGAACGGCCACACUGGGACUGAGACACGGCCCAGACUCCUACGGGAGGCAGCAGUGGGGAAUAUUGCGCAAUGGGGGGAACCCUGACGCAGCGACGCCGCGUGAGCGACGAAGGCCUUCGGGUCGUAAAGCUCUGUUCUUGGGGACGAAGGAAAUGACGGUACCCAAGGAGAAAGCCCCGGCUAACUACGUG